UCCCUCAUAGCUCUGUUGGUAAAGAAUCUGCCUGCAAUGCAGGAGACCCUGGUUCCAUCCUGGUUUGGGAA
rnacentral:tRNA from 1 species